GGUGACAGUCUCUGAUAUUUAGCUGGGGACACAAGAUCUAAGAAAAUGAUGAGGCAGGGUCCCAAAGAAGAUAGGUGCUAUAUGACAUGGGAAAGUUAACAAGACUCUGGAGAGCUUGGGGUGUGGACCAGUGGCAGAGCAUUUGCCUAGCAUGUGUGAGACCCUGGAUUACAGCAAAACAAAACAAAAUGGAAACAAAAACAGGCUCUGAGCAAGCACUGGAAUGUGGGGACCCAGGUAGGCAUUGGGGAACAUGGUGGAUACUGCUGACAAGAUGUCUAGAUGGGCAUUGGGAAUGUGGGACCCGGGGAACAUGGAUAGGUAUUAAUGACAAGGAGUCCGGGUAGGUAUUAAGGGGAUAGGUGGGUUUAUCAUCCCCUCACCUGCUAAUCUAUCCUUCUCUCCAGUGACACAACCUAAACGCACCUUCACGACAGUCCGGACCCCAAAGGACAUUGCAUCAGAGAACUCUAUCUCCAGGUUGCUCUUCUGCUGUUGGUUUCCCUGGAUGCUGAGGGCAGAAAUGCAGUCUUAAAGGCCCUGAAUACCAGACAGAGACACAGAGUCCCCUCUAGUAUCUCCUGACACAAGGAGCUCCCAGUCACCCGAGAUAGAGAUUCCCAGUAACACUUCAAGAAUAGAGACCCCCCCACACACCAUUAGCCAGCCCUUGAUCAUUGAGGUCCCAUUAUUAACAGAUCCCCCAAGAUAACCCCCCAAAUACAGACCUUACGUCACCCAGAAAUAAAUUCCCUGAGUAGCACCUUCAGGUUAGUUCCUGUCCCCAGCCUCUCAGACCAGACUCCCAAUUAACAGAUUUCCACACUCCAAAUGAUGGUGAUCCUCUCCACAUAAUGCUCUAUAACAGGACAUUCUUGAGUCACUCAUCAGUGGGGAUGAGAACCGCACCAUUAAUGAAGAUCCCUUUUCCACCUUGCCCUUGAAAUAAACAUAGAUAACAGCUCUGGAGUAGCAGACCAUGUCUCUAUCUCUGUUUAACAUCAGUGCUCUCAAGAUGUGACUUCAUGUCACCCCAAAGCCCUUACACUCCAGAUCUUCUAUAAGAGACUCCCUCCAUUAACAAAGACCUUGUUCUUAUCCCUCAAGAAGAGACCCACCUUAAUCAGCCCACCGUCACCCCCAAUGUACAGACACCAAAAUACCAAAAUUGUCCUGGAAGUGCUAAUUACAGGACCCUCAAUUCUUCCUACCCUCUGCACCCUCAACAAACCCCCAGUGCCUUGUGUGAAGCUCACCCUACAUGGCCCACAGAACCUGUGCUGGCCAGGAUCCCAGAAAAUUCUCUAUUUUUUAAGUAAUGACUUCCCCUUUUGGGGGACCCCAAAUUAGGAGAUCCCAUUCUGGGACUCUGGGGAUCCUACACCCCAGAUUAUAUAUAUCCCCAACUUCCCUGUGCCCUCAAGACCUACAGCCCCUAGAAGACCCCAAAUUGUGAACUCCCAGGACCCCCAAAUCCCCAGAGAAUCCCAAAUUUUAAAAUCCCCAACCCCUAGGAAACCCCAAUCAUGAGGUCCUUGUGCUUGGGACUUGUGCUUGAGACUGCAGUCAGGAUGUGUAUUCCAGGCUCUCAGAGAACCUGAAGCCCUUUUCACAGGCACCGGGAGACCCCCAAACAGGAAUUACCAUCCCUAGAAACUAGAGGAUUUCAAUGUCUUGAGUCCACAGACCUCAAGAAACGCAAAUCCCAAGAGCCCCCGCCCCAAGGGAACCCCAAAUCUUAAAAGCCUCCAUCUCUAAUACAUGGAGUGUCCCCGAGGCCCUGAGGGGAUCCCAAGUCUUGGAGCCCCCAUUUCAAUCUACCUUCUGGUCACAGGUCUAAGACAGCAAAUUUGAGUCACUGGCCCCUCACAGCACUUGGGCCAGACCAACAGCCUGAGGGAGAACCUGAAGGCCCCGCGGGUCUAGGGCAGACCUGGGCCCCCGAACACCAAGGACAGCUCACGACUGUCCCUUCACUGCAUGUCCCCAAACUACGCAUGAUCCUGUCCUCUUCAAUAAAGACGUUUCUAUG
ensembl:lncRNA